rnacentral:rRNA from 1 species
CGCCUUGCCAGCCCGCUCAGAAACUUAAAGGAAUUGACGGGGGCCCGCACAAGCGGUGGAGUAUGUGGUUUAAUUCGAUGCAACGCGAAGAACCUUACCUGGUCUUGACAUCCCGGAGACCCUUAGGAAACUAGGGGGUGCUUCCAUCUGGAAGAAUCUGGAGACAGGUGCUGCAUGGCUGUCGUCAGCUCGUGUCGUGAGAUGUUGGGUUAAGUCCCGUAACGAGCGCAACCCUUGCCUUUAGUUGCCAGCAGUUCGGCUGGGCACUCUAAAGGGACUGCCGGUGUUAAACCGGAGGAAGGUGGGGAUGACGUCAAGUCCUCAUGGCCUUUAUGACCAGGGCUACACACGUACUACAAUGGCCGAUACAAAGGGCAGCGACACUGCGAGGUGAAGCCAAUCCCGUAAAAUCGGUCUCAGUCCGGAUUGGAGUCUGCAACUCGACUCCAUGAAGUUGGAAUCGCUAGUAAUCGUGGAUCAGCAUGCCACGGUGAAUACGUUCCCGGGCCUU